rnacentral:rRNA from 1 species
UACAGAGGGGGCAAGCGUUGUUCGGAAUUACUGGGCGUAAAGGGCGCGUAGGCGGCCUGUUAAGUCGAACGUGAAAUCCCCAGGCUCAACCUGGGAACUGCGUCCGAUACUGGCAGGCUUGAAUCCGGGAGAGGGAUGUGGAAUUCCAGGUGUAGCGGUGAAAUGCGUAGAUAUCUGGAGGAAUACCGGUGGCGAAGGCGACUUCCUGGACCAAUACUGACGCUCAGGUGCGAAAGCGUGGGGAGCAAACAGG